AUAGUUGACGCAAAAGGCCCCCACAAGUGUUAUGAAGAAAAUAGCAAUGGCCUGGAUGCAAGAAAUUACUAGAUCAAUGUGCUGUUCCAUCAGCCUCAAAGUUCAGUUCACUCAAGGACAAAGCGGAAGGAAAUGCCUCAAGCAGACAAUAUGCAAUCAGCCAACA